rnacentral:rRNA from 1 species
CCUANGGGAGGCAGCAGUGAGGAAUUUUGCGCAAUGGGGGAAACCCUGACGCAGCAACGCCGCGUGAGUGAUGAAGGCCUUCGGGUCGUAAAGCUCUGUCAAGUGGGAAGAACCUGAUUAAUGAUAAUACCAUUAAUCAUUGACGGUACCACUGAAGGAAGCACCGGCUAACUCCGUGCCAGCAGCCGCGGUAAUACGGAGGGUGCAAGCGUUAUUCGGAAUCAUUGGGCGUAAAGGGCGCGUAGGCGGUUUUUUAAGUCAGAUGUGAAAGCCCGGGGCUUAACCCCGGAAGUGCAUUUGAAGCUAAAAGACUUGAGUAUGGGAGAGGGAAGUGGAAUUCCUGGGGUAGAUGUGAAAUUCGUAGAUAGCAGGAGGAACACCGGUGGCGAAGGCGACUUCCUGGACCAAUACUGACGCUGAGGCGCGAAGGCGUGGGUAGCAAACAGGAUUAGAUACCCCUNUAGUC